rnacentral:ncRNA from 1 species
UUGUUCUCCAAGACGGACGGAGCUUUCGAGUUUCGUGCUUCGGCACGUCUCUCGGAGAGCCAAGACAAAUCCAAGUCAAAAACCAAACAAAUCAAACUAUGGUUAACAGAAACAACAUGACAUGCAGCUGCAGCCACUGUGCAUCCAUCGGUGUUUGUGGAAGAUUCCCUAAAAGUGCGGAGUC